rnacentral:rRNA from 1 species
GUGGUCAAGUUUUUAUGAGCACAUGGUGGAUGCCUGGGCACUGGGCGCCGAUGAAGGACGUGGGAGGCUGCGAUAAGCCUCGGGGAGCUGUCAACCGAGCUGAGAUCCGAGGAUGUCCGAAUGGGGAAACCCAGCACUCGUGAUGGAGUGUUACCCGCACCUGAAUGUAUAGGGUGUGUGGAGGGAACGCGGGGAAGUGAAACAUCUCAGUACCCGUAGGAAGAGAAAACAACCGUGAUUCCCUGAGUAGUGGUGAGCGAAAGGGGAUGAGGCUAAACCGCAUGCGUGUGAUACCUGGCAGGGGUUGCGUGUGUGGGGUUGUGGGAGCCUGUUGGAGGGAUCUGCCAGUCCUUCGGAUGUGUGCUGGUGGUUAGCGGAAGCGCUUGGGAUGGCGCGCCGGAGUGGGUGAGAGUCCCGUACGUGAAAGCUGCUGGUGUGUGUCUGUGCAGGUUGUCCCGAGUAGCAGCGAGCCCGUGGAAUUUGCUGUGAAUCGGCCAGGACCACCUGGUAAGCCUAAAUACGUCCCAGUGACCGAUAGCGGAUGAGUACCGUGAGGGAAUGGUGAAAAGUACCCCGGGAGGGGAGUGAAAGAGUACCUGAAACCAUGUGCUUACAAGCCGUCAGAGCCUGCGGGUGAUGGCGUGCCUUUUGAAGAAUGAGCCUGCGAGUUAGUGCUGCGUGGCAAGGUUAACCCGUGUGGGGUAGCCGUAGCGAAAGCGAGUCUGAAGAGGGCGGUUGGAGUCGCGUGGUCUAGACCCGAAACGGGGUGAUCUACCCAUGGCCAGGGUGAAGCGCCGGUAAGACGGCGUGGAGGCCCGAACCCACUUAGGUUGAAAACUGAGGGGAUGAGCUGUGGGUAGGGGUGAAAGGCCAAUCAAACCCUGUGAUAGCUGGUUCUCCCCGAAAUGCAUUUAGGUGCAGCGUCGCAUGGUUCACAUCUGGGGUAGAGCUACUGGAUGGCUGAGGGGCCUUACCGGGUUACCGAUGUCAACUAAACUCCGAAUACGGGUGUGUGUAGUGCGGCAGUGAGACGGUGGGGGAGAAGCUUCAUCGUCGAGAGGGAAACAGCCCAGAACGCCGGCUAAGGCCCCUAAGUGUGUGCUGAGUGGAAAAGGAUGUGGGAUUGCCCAGACAACCAGGAGGUUGGCUUAGAAGCAGCCAUCCUUGAAAGAGUGCGUAAUAGCUCACUGGUCAAGUGAUCCUGCGCCGAUAAUGUAGCGGGGCUAAGCACACCGCCGAAGCCGUGUCGCCCAUGCGUGAACAUCGGUAUCCGCCUGCGGGUGGGUAUCCAGUGGUAUGGGUGGGUAGGGGAGCGUCGAUCACCUGGUGAAGCCGUGGCGUGAGCUAGCGGUGGAGGGUGGUCGAGUGAGAAUGCAGGCAUGAGUAGCGAAAGCAGAGUGAGAAUCUCUGCCGCCGGAUGACCAAGGGUUCCUGGGCCAGGCUGUUCCGCCCAGGGUUAGUCGGGACCUAAGGCGAGGCCGACAGGCGUAGUCGAUGGAUAACGGGUUGAUAUUCCCGUACCCGCGUGUGCGCGUCCCUGGUGAGGCGGGGGAUACUAACCACCCGAACCUCGCUGCUGGUCUUCGGACCGGUGUGCGGGGGGAGCGUGGGACCUGAUCCUGUAGUAGCCAAGCGAUGGGGUGACGCAGAAAGGUAGCUCCGCCAGCGGAUGGAAGUGCUGGUGUAAGCGUGUAGGAGGAGGCAUAGGCAAAUCCGUGCCUCGUUACAGCUCUGAGACGUGACGCGUAGCCGUAUGAGGCGAAGUGAGUGAUCCUCUGCUGCCGAGAAAAGCCUCUAGCGAGCGCACGGGCGGCCCGUACCCCAAACCAACACAGGUGGUCAGGUAGAGAAUACCGAGGCGAGCGGGUGAACUGUGGUUAAGGAACUCGGCAAAAUGCCCCCGUAACUUCGGGAGAAGGGGGGCCAAAACACGUGGAGCCCCGCGCGGGCCGAGCGUGGGUUGGCCGCAGAGACCAGCGGAGAGCGACUGUUUACUAAAAACACAGGUCCAUGCGAAGAAGCAAUUCGAUGUAUAUGGACUGACGCCUGCCCGGUGCUGGAACGUUAAGAGGACC